CAAUUGUGGGCAUUUGAACGUGUGGACUGGAUAAUAACAUUGCAUUCGUGUUAUAUUUCCUGAAUUAGGUCAUGGCCCCCGGGUUAUGCCAAUGGAAAUCCUUGCCUUCAGGAGGUACUAUGAAGUAUCCAAGGGUCAGGAGCCGUCAUGCUGGCAACUUACUCUCAGACAGUUGGGCAACAAAAAUAACAACGUGAUAAACGGAGAGAGAGAUGCUCCUGGUCCAAACCCCGCAGCCCCUAAAGGUAAAGAGAAGAAGGUGUAAAAGGGAAGGGCUGCGGCGAAGGCAGGUUAACAGGGACCGCGCUCCAGCACAGAGCUUCAGCGAGCAUCGCCCGAAAGGGCAGACGGCAGGAGCCAAAGAGUCCCUUAGCAAGCCCAGGAGGCUGUCGCAAUAGCGGUCCACAAGGAGAGGCCGUGGGAGAGAGCCUUUUCCUGGAUGACGCUUGGGUCUAUUAUGGGAACAGAACUACGAUGAUAAGAAAAACCGAGUGUCAUCCAGAAACCCCAAAUCAGCUGCUUCCAGACUUCCCCCAGGAGAUGUCCCCCAGUGGUCAGAUGGAGCUGUCCUCACCCUCCCUUCGGCAAAUGAAAUAUAAU
rnacentral:lncRNA from 1 species